rnacentral:lncRNA from 1 species
UGGGUCUGUAUGAAGCUCCAUCAGAUACUCGUCCAACGCUGCUGAAUUCCCCACCGGAGAGGCCUCGUGGUGAAAAUGUCACAAUUAUGACAGACUUCCUAAAAGGUAUGAAAACGAAACUGAACCUGAGACGCCGUCAGCUGAAGCUACAGUGAACGGAACCGACUCCAUUCACGAAGAGGCACCAACACGCGUGUGCUGUUUAUGAGUCCGCGCUUCACUAACAACCAAACCGUCCAAGAAGCAAAUCAGCUGGUUCCUGUUUGUGUGCUGCUGCUGGAGUGUCAUUUUACGGUGAGACCCUGUUCAUGUGCAUCCUGGUCCUUGGGCUUCGUUCUAGAGGGAGAAUGAGGACGGACAGUUUCAUCACAAGGUGCCAUCGCGGCUCAUGACUGAAGAUGGUGCAUCGUGCAUUAUUUGUAAUUUUGAUGGAGUCAAACCACAGAUCAUUGAAGGUGAACCUGGACUUUCCACAGACACUGAGCGGCUACAGCUUCCCACUGACACGCAUGUGAUGCUGGGGAAGACAUUUUCCUCUUCACAGCAGGACGCCGGGCCUUUCUGACAGAACACUGGUGGAGGUGGUGGCUGGGACGCGGCUGUAAACAAGCCUGACUGGCUGCGACAAACCUGGCAACCGAGAAAUGCCAGCUGGGGAUCCAGCAGCAGCCACCAAACACACACACACACACACACACACACACGCACGCACACAGUCCCUAAUACAGUGUGGGUGCUCACACACACCAGACAC